ACCACCACUGCCCUGCCAGCAUCUUAAGUCUUGAAGUCUAACCUGUGUAUAGGUGCAGAAUCUUCCCAAUCUUUUUGUGGAAUGGAUACUUGGCUGAGAUGUUUGCAUUUAUGCCUUUAACACCUGGAGGAACUUAGAUACCAACAAGAAAAUGAUUGUAGCAUAGAUGUUAUUACUUCCGAAGCACUGUGGAGUGUCAAAGAGUACUUCAAAUAUAGCUGUCCAUUGAGUCAACAGUAUAUUGAUGCCAUUCUGUCUUAAAGAUGAGCCAGAAACUAGGAAGAGCCUCCCAAUCUGCCCGGCCUAUCACAGCAUGCCCCUGACAGUAACAAGCACUGUGCUGUGUCUCUCUGUUCAUUUCUGCUGCAGGAUGAAGCAUGGACAACAAAGCAGUAAACAAAGAGUAAUAGCAUUUGAAAGAAACGACAGUGAGCCCUGAAAACAGAACAUGGAAGAACAAGGUCACCCUUUAUUAGAUGGCAAAUGUGUUCGUCAACAACCAUCUUAAAGGGUAAAGCAACAGGAAGGUGCACAGAAUGCACAAAACGGUUUACAAAACAGAGCGAAAGCAACCCCUCUUGGGCCCAUUGGUAGUUUCACCUUCCUGUUGGACAAAAAAGUAGUGCAAAGUUAUCGAAAAGACACGGGGCUUUCCAGGAAAGAACAAUAGCAUCUGUACCCCUGUAAGUCAUGGAGGUGUUAUUUCAGAGAAGUAGCCCUCAGCAUUAUUUCCCUGGCCCUUCAACUCUCCCCGCAUUCCCAGCUUUGGUUUAUGUUCUUACCUGAGCCAUAAUGUUCAAGGCCAGUGGGAACUUCCUGUGUGGCAGUCUCAUCCCAGAGUGGAUAAAGAGGUCUUUGCUGAUGAUAAUUGGACUGGAAACCGCAGGUCAUUCGAGGAUCUUCAAAAGCAUUAAUAGGUCCCUGCCUCUGUGAUCAGUGAAAAUAAAAGGGCUUGCAUUAGGAGAAAAUCCUCUAGAGUUCAAUCCUAUUAUAAAUAUGACUUCAUACUAUCCAAUCACAGAUAUGCAAAAAAAAACCGAUCUAUCAGUCAAAACCAGACAGACACUCAUUCCCAUUUACUUUGCCCUCCAAACUCACAAGGAAUGAGAGGAACUACUGAUUUAGACUAUGACUUCGUUUAUUUCCACCCAUACCUCCAAGCAUCUCAGAAGCAGCUUUUACAACCUUCAAAAUCCUUCCUUUGCAGUAAACAGCAUACAUGACCAUCUCAGAUUUACACAGUCUGACAUUUUUCUAUCAGUAUUAUCUCCCUCUAUAAAAACAUCAUUAAAGAAUGUUCUUACAAGACAAUUCAGUGUUAUAGAAUUUGUGAUAAAUUAAUGCCACAGGAAAAAGGAAAGAGUGGAUCUCUACCAUAAAAUCCAUUUCAUUUGUUAUUAAUUGGUAGGGGUAGGUUUUGAUGACAUAAGUUGCUGGAUAAGAACAGUCAAUUUCCUGUAGUCUUUGGAGAUUUAUGCCGCCUCUUUAUUAGCUUUAUUAAAUUCACAAAAUAGACAUUGUGAGAAAACCAAACAUGCUAUGCAGAAAACCAUGUUUCACAAUGGUUAAAAGCCUAUCCCAUGAAGUCAGAUGAAUUCAGAUAUAUAUAAAUUCAAACCCAGGUUGUACCACUUACACAUAAGAGUAAAGGUCUAUCCCUUAAUCUAAACCUUAUCAAGUAGGAGAGUUGAGGGACUGGAGAGAUGGCUCAGUGGUUAGGAGCAUUUGUUCCUCUAGAGGACCUGGAUUCAAUUCCCAGAAUCCUCAUAGCCCCUCACAACCACCUGUAAUUCCAGUUCCAGGGGAUCCAAUGCCCUCUUCUGGCCUCCUUGGAUGCUAUGCAUACACGUGGUGCACAGUCAUACAUGCAAGCCAACACCCAUACACAUAAAAUAAAAGUCAAACUUUUCAAAUGUAUAAGAAAAUUAUAUAUAAAGCAAUUUAAGUAUCAAAUGUGUUUAAUAAAAUUAUGAACUUAUGAAAUGCAUGUAUAAAUACUCUAUGUAAAACUUUGUCAUCCCUACAAGGUAGGUGUUUUUUUCAACCUAAGAGAUAACUGGGACCUGGUGGCACAGGUCUAUAGCACCAGCUCUUCAGGACGCUGGAGCGGGAGAAAAGCAAGUUCAAGAUCUGUCUGAGCUCUAGGAGAAACUGGCUAUAAAGAAAGUAAC